GUUCAUUUCCAUGAGAUCUGAGAAAACGGGGGGAAAGAUGGAGAAAGAGGGUAGGGAACAGGGUAAGACAGUUCCCUCUCCUCCCCCCCCCCCCCCGCCUCGCUUCUCUGAUGAAGUCCAAUGAGAGAAAAUACAGACAUUGCCCCUAGUCCUGAACCUAAUCCUUAUUUUGAUUUUGUUUCUAGAUGAGAAAAGUUUCUUUCAUCUAUCACUAGAUUUUUCAGGAUCAGAAGGUAUUCAGUUCAUAAUGUUGUGCAGUUCCAACAUUCUCCUAGUACUGUAUUUGUAGUCAGAAUCCAUUUGAGGGUGACGUUUUGGGAAACAAAACUGAGGCGCCAUCUGCUUUGUUCCACAACUUACUUCCACUUUCCAUAUUAAAUUGGAUCUAGCAAAUCUUGAAACUCAGCAUUAUUGCCUUGCAUAAAUACAUUAGGAGGAAAUGGGAAGUGAGAGACAAGUGGUACACUUGAACUCUGAAUGGACAGGCCCAGGUGAGAAAGAGAGUAAUUAUACUUUAAAUCUUAAUAAUCAUCAAAGAGAACUAACUCACAGGGAAAUCUGGUGACUUAUGGGGUGCUAUAAUCACACGGAUACACUAAAUGGAUAGCACAUGCCCCCUGCUCUCGGAAUUAGCUGCUUCAUUAGCAACAGCUCUGCUCAGCCAGGGAAGUUAAUUAAAGUCUGCAGCAAAGCAGGCACAGAAGAAAAGCAGCAGUGUUGCGGCAUAGGAGAAUACUGUUCCUCCAUCAGGGACCCGGGGCAGCUACAUGGGACACAGGCCUGAAGAUACAGAACAAGUAAGACAGAGUUGGGAAUCAUGGGCCCCAGGAAUUGUUGGACUGCAUAUCCCAGUUUCCCUUAAUCAGCAUGACCAAUGUUGCAUUCUGAGAACAUCUGAAGACCCAGAGGAGACCCUCAUUUGGAGCAAGUGAACUAACUACUGCUAAGCUGAAAUUCACAUCAUGAAGCUCAAAUUCUCAUGCUCCCAAGAACCUUAUGUUUCAGAGAUAGAGCACCCAAUACCACUGUUGUCUCCAUCUGGGUCUCCUUGCUUUUGGUCCUUUAUUUCAUCAGUGUUUCUAAUUCAUUUGCACACAUUACUCAUACUGAUCUAAACAUAUUUCUGAUAUGGUUUUAAAAUGCACACAUUUUAAUGAAGUUUUCAAAGAGGUACAUUUUAUUAGAUGGCUCUACAGCAGUAAUGUGAAGAUCCUGGAAGACAAGGUUCUUCUUUUCAGACCCAAGCAUUGGGGGGUUGCGGGAAGUUUGCAUACAGUGUUUCAGAGCUGACUUCUCUCAUAAAUCUCAAAUAUUUACCAUGCCACAGAAUUCCUUCCUCAACACAGACCCUGAUCUCUGUGUCCUAUAACUUUGAGUUUUGUUCCGUUCCUGAAUUGAUUCAGUAUAGACCCUGUGAAUUCAACCUAGCUGUCAUCCCUAGCUUGCAGCCAAGUAGAUUUCUGCCUGUCAGCCCAAGCAUGAAACAGAAGGUGAAGGAAAAGAACAGGCCAUGCAACCAAAGUGAUUUUAAAGAAUAAAGCUGUGGAAAAUACAGAACUACAAUGACUGGGUAGUAUGCUUGUCACAUCUGAAUUCAAAGAGAACUCAGUUGCUUCAGUUUCAGAUAUCUCUUGCCAGUCCCCUCUGAGAUCCUGCGUCAGAUGUUCUUAAGAAAAUCCAAAUGGUUGUUUAAGUUUUGUUGAUAACUUGUGAACUCAGAUCAUGCUUCACUGAGAGAUUGCUAAUCAAACUUGAACACAGUUUUGCAGAAGGCGUGCUAAUGUUGUUCCAAAUGUAAACAGACUGGAGGCAGAGAAAUAGGGAUACAUUAUGCUGUACUGGAAUAGAAUAAAAAGAAAUUGGAUGUUUUUGAACACAUUUGGGCUGUGGUGUUUAACUAUACAAACAGGGGGGAAUUGCAGGUAGAAAUUAAAAAAACAAGCAAACUGACAGAUCCUGAUAACUGGUAAUUUUUUUUACAU
rnacentral:lncRNA from 1 species